rnacentral:lncRNA from 1 species
CCUAUUUACCAAAUAUUUUUUUACUUAGAAUUUUAAUAUGCUACCUACAUAUCUAUUAUAAUUUUACAUUUUUUUUUUGUGCACAAAAUGAACAAACAGCCUCGGUACGCCACAAUAGCGGUAUCAAGGUAUAAAGGAAUACAAUAUGCAUGACAGAUUGUGAUGUUCUAAAAUUAGGCACAUUUUUUAGUAAUGAGUAGAGGAUAGUUAAGCUGGAUAGUAGGUUUUAGUGUGAUGUGCUAAAUAAGUUGAGCUGAUGUUGAGUGUUAUUUAAGUAGAUCACGAGUAGUCAGAUAUGUGUUAGGUAGCUUACACAUUAAUUAUACGAACUGCGGGCUGAUUUAAACACAUUUGCUAGGUAAGAAAAUUGUAACAAACCGCUGGCACCCAUACCGACCUGCCAAGACUUAUGUAAAGUAAGUAUGGUAAAGUAAAUGAAAAACAAAGGCAUAAACAAAAGGAGAAAACAUGGGAUGAGGCACAGAAGGAGGAGAACCUUAGGCUCCGCCAUCUCCAUUAUGAUCUCUCCUGGUUGUAUGUAAUGGGAGUGUGGGGGAGUUAGACAGGUUAAAUACUAUGCUAUGUGGGUUGCAGGGUGUAAACAAUAGAGCAUAACAAUUGCAUUGGGUGUUUGCCUGUCCAUAGGUAGUAAGGGCCGUAUUAGACAGGCUGGUUUGGACACUGCAGUGUGUGGCCUGGCGUAGAGGGAGACCCAUGGCUGAGUAAGGUCCUGCAAUUCCAGCUAAUCAAUUCCCAUCAGUGGCGGUACAAAGUUCCCGUCAGUGGAGUGUCCGGUCAGGCAUUAGAGACAGGGACGGAGUGUGAGCUGCUGUGACAGCCUCCAAGGCUGCAAGGCCUUAUCUGUCCCUGAUGGGCCCAGGUAGGCGCCCGCACGUGGUGUAGCCCGCCACAUCACUGGGGUCGCGAUCCCCCUCCAUAUUGCUCUUCCGUAUGGUGGAUAGAAUCCCUCUCAGGGUGUGGGUUGUGCCGAAGGUGAAGGCUCACAUCCAGACCAUGAUGACGGCAUCUGACAGCCCUCCUCUGCUUCUUAACUUUCUGCCGUGUGGUAGGCUGUGGGCUUGGCAUUGCUCUGCUCAGUGUGAACUUGGGUCCUGGGGCUCUGUGGUUUACGGAGAGCCUCCCGGCUACUUGAGUGGCUGAGCGGGCGCACUCCUGUGUGGGCCUUCUGCUCAGGGUAGGAUGGAUGAGCUGCCGCUGCUGCUUUGUUUUCCGGUGUCGUAGGUGAGGCUUGAAAGGGAGGUCUGUGCUGUAAGCGCCUCCAGAACACUUGGCAGAUUUGCACACACCGGAUCUCGAAGUACAGUCUCCAUUGCUGGAGCUCUGGGCCCUCUUUAUUUUGCUGGAAGUGCAGCAUGGCGGCCAUCUUAGGUGCUUCGUGGGACCGGCUGCUUGGCAAGAUUUUCCCUUGUUGCAGGUGAGUAUAACCUUCCAGCGGGGACCGGGAUAUCCCCCACCGGUCCAUGGGGGGGUAGCGGGAGAACAGGAGAGCUGCUGUGCGGUGUGGACCACGUGUCGGGAGAUCGGCCACCUCCCCCAGCAUUCAGGCCGCUACCCUUGCUAGGCCUAAGACGCAUAUCACGGUAAAUCGACAAUAAUAGUGGCUUGUGUGGCGCCAAAAGAUUCAGAAGCACUUCACCUGUCUACUGGUAGCCCUUUUGUAGCAUUUUCUGGGCUGUGUUGUGCCGUUUUUCUGCUGUAUUAGUCAAGCAGAGCGGAGCUGUGUCUACAUGCGUCUGCUCAGCUCAGCGUUCAAGCCC